rnacentral:misc_RNA from 2 species
AUUUCUUCGAACGACAGCUUUGCUUUGGCAGAGUUGGCGGAUCGGUACUGAGGCUUGCCAUUUGCACUGGCUGCUUCGAAAUACAUCAGCUGGACUGUACAUGCUAGAGAGCAGAAGGAUAUACGUCCCUCUCCCUCCGGAUUUUGAUAAUUAUCAAAACACGGACGUGAUGGAAACUCCUUUUGCUUGGGUGUGAACGCUGGCUUCUUAAAACCGCCCACUUUGCCUUUAUGGCAGAGAGGGAUUCUAAUUC